rnacentral:rRNA from 1 species
UACGUAGGGGGCGAGCGUUAUCCGGAUUUAUUGGGCGUAAAGCGUGUGUAGGCGGUUUAUUAAGUCUAAGAUCAAAGCCCGAGGCUCAACCUCGGUUCGUCUUAGAAACUGGUAGACUUGAGUGUGGUAGAGGCAAGUGGAAUUUCUAGUGUAGCGGUUAAAUGCGUAGAUAUUAGAAGGAACACCAGUGGCGAAGGCGGCUUGCUGGGCCAUUACUGACGCUGAGACACGAAAGCGUGGGGAGCAAAUAG